rnacentral:lncRNA from 1 species
UAACAUGUAAUGUAUAAUAUAGACUCAUGAAUGAACUGACGCUGAUGUAAUUCCUUGUAAUAGGAAUGAUGUUUUGUAUCUUCUAACUAUCCCUAUAAUAGUUAACUGGAAGGUAAUUAGUUGUUCAAGCAAGUUUAUACACCCUUGCUACACAAGAGUGUAGGAAACUGAAUGAAGGAUGAAAACUAUAACAUCAAUACCUAUAUAAGAACAUAAGUGUAUAGGUAUAGUUUUGUUCAAGAAGGUAAAAAUGGUUUUGUAAGACAUCUAUGAGUUUUGAACAAUAAUUAACAAUGACUUGAUGUCAUUUUAAUAAACAUUUCAAAUGUAAUACUUUUGCUACCAAGGUAUUUUUAAGAUAGAAAACCAUUUCAUGCAUCACAUUUUGAAGUAUGUUAAAUCUGCUGGAUGAAAACACAUUUAUAAAAUAUCUAUGAUUGAUUUAAGAACAUGCUUUUUCAACUUGUAUCCCCCCAUUUAAAGCAUUUAAAAUCAUUUAAACAUUGAUUAAGGGGUAUGAACUCACAUGUAGAUGGUGGUUUGGAUGUACUAAAUGAUGUAGGAUAGCAAGGUGACAAGUGAAGACUUGUUCACACCGAAUGAUCCUAGUUAACAUAUUAUCACACAUAUAUGUAACCAAUUAUACUUUAAACCACUAAUUGACAAAGUUAAGACAUCCUAAGGCAUGUAAAACACCUUAUAUAAGUGCUACAAGCCAUAAGGAUUGUAUCUAAGUGCUAAAGUACCUUGCUAUUGUGUUUGGGGUUCAAGGGUAAACUCCCUUGGAGUUUACGGUUUUCAUGACCUUGACCUAAUGAGUUUAUGGUCGUCAACUCAAGAGUUUACGGUCGUAAAAUCCUCUCUUUUUGACCAUAAGUUGUUUUGAGGUUUUUCAAGUCCUUUUAAGCAUUUCUACUUGGUGGUUUGGCCUUUGGAAGAGAUUAGGGAAUCAUUACACUCCUUUGAGGAGUUUACGGCGUCAUGGUCAUUUCUCUUUGGCUUUACUACCUUAAACCCAUGAGGUUUACUACCUUAAACUCAUGACUUUUAUGCACUUUUUGGGGUGUUUACGGUUUUGGGAGAUCCCCAAACCGUAAACACAUAAAAAUGUGAGUAUUUGGUGCUUUUUGUGUCAUAAACUCAUCAAGGAUGAAGCUAGACAAGUCCCUAAGGCAUGGUGGAGCAUAUAGGCACCUUAAGGCACCACUUUGCACCAUAAAUGGUGUUUACGGUUUUGGGAGCCUCCCAAAACCGUGAAAACCUUGAUCUUGGUGUUCUUGGGACUUUUCUUUGAUGUUAAUAUGUAAUACAAGCUUAAUAAGACUCAAGGAUGGAAGUACUUACUAUAAGGAAGCUUGGAUUUAGCUAAAAGUCCAAGAACACUUAGUGUGUGUUCUUGGUGUUUUUGGAAAUCUAAUCAAUACACAAAAAUGAAUGGAUGAAUAGAUGCACAAACACUAGAUUAAGUGUUGUAUCAACUUGGAAUGGUUAGAACACUUACAAGUUUGAAGAUCUUGAAUUGAUUCAAAGAUGAUACUUGAGAGAGUUUCUUGAGUUUACUCUUUUGGAGUUUACUCUUUUAGGGUGAAAAAUGAAAAGUGACUAACUUUGAGGAGUAAACUCAUGAUUAAGCAUGAGUUCACGAUUUUUGGAAGUUUUUCCGACCCAAACAUAAAAGUUUGGCCGUGAACUUCUAAGACACGAGAUGUUUGCGGUUUUUAAAAUUCAAAACCCGAGACGGCACUUUCUUUCACCCGUUCGUUUAAAAAUAAUAUUAAAAUAAUCAAACGAACUUAUUUUUCCCAAAAACAAGUAAAAGUGAACUUGACUUAUAAUAUGAAGUGAUUGACUGCUAGGGUUUGACCGAAUGAAAAUUUCGAGUUGUCACAUCAUCCCCCUGUUAAAGGGAAUUUCGUCCCGAAAUUAGAAUUUAGGUAAGGAAGUAGGUAUGAAUGAUCAAGUCGAGAGGUGGAAACUUCCUAAUCGAUUGGUUCUUGUGCUCAUAAGUGAAACCGGGUCCUCGGUUGGUAUUCCAACGAACCUUCACUAACGGGCAACGACGUUGCUUCGUCUGCUUGACCUCUCGGUCGAGGGUCAGCACAGUUCUAAUACGAAGGCAAGGAUUUUGUUAAUCUCGAUCUCGUCGAGUGGGUUACGAGAGUCCUAACGGAAAGGUACAGUUUGAAAAUCGAGACGCGAAGGGUAAAAUGUACGUUACUGAGUUCGCGGAGUAGGUCUAGUUUGUGAGAUACAGGACCGAUUCUGGUAAGAAUCUCGGAGAUGCUAACUAUAUUGGAUUUAGAUUUCCAUGCCUUACGAAGCGUAUUAAGCCAUUCCCAGAGUGAGGUUUCCUAAAGAAUUUGGUCUCUCACUUGGAAUUCCAAAGGUUCUUUCUCUUCCUUAACUUCCCAGUCAAGAGCCACCCCUUGUCGGGUCAAAGUCGAAAGGGUUUUUUUGGAUUGCGAGGAGUUCUGAAUGGACUACGAGAGUAGGUCUGUAUGACCUAGAAUUUGGCGAAUUUUCCGUUGGCGACUACGGUGCUGAAAAAUUCCCAAUAGUUUUGGAUAAUUUGCCAGAGUACUCAAGAAUUUCCACAUCACUAAUAGUGCGUCUUAGGAAAUUUGACUCUUUAAUUCCAAAACUCGAGUUCAGAGAACUUUGUGAAAAGUAUCUCCGAGGGUAAUGUUUCCAUGGGUUCUUUCUUACUACGAGGGUUGCUAAGUAAGUCAUUACAUGGAGAAAUGACGAACUGAUCCCAGUAAUAAAGACGUACCCUACUCAUUUAGCUCAUGAAUACUAUGGGCGUAUUGAUCCUAUCCGAGGGGUAUCACUACAGACUCGAAAUGUCCGCAUCGAGUUCGGAGGGUAGUCUUCAGGACAUCCUUCCCUAUCACUCGAACCGAUGAUAUUUGGAUCUUAGGUCCAUUUCUGAAAGUAAUUCUUUCCAUGCGUUUGCUCAAUCGACUCAUCUAUGCGAGGCAGAGACAACAAUUUCUAAGGGAAAUAUUAACGAAGUCCCUGAUCGUCGAGGUACAUAUGAUGCACUCCGUCGACUUCUGCUAAGAAUAAGACCAGAGCUCUCAAGGAUGAGAAGCCUAGUUUUCCAAUUCUAUUGUUGAGUAGUUCGCUGAGUUUUCCGGGCUGUUCUUGUAUCUCCGUAUUUGUUUAGACUCUAAGGCGAUCUGGUUGUAAGAGUCAUAUUGGGUUCUAAGUUUGUUCACAUGCCAAUGCAAUAACUCGUAGUCUUGGGCAGUCUUCGUCCUGAAGUUCAUAUUAGAAUUCAUACAUGGUUCAAAGAUCACAAUCUCGUGUAUACGAGUCGUAUAUAAUUAAGAUUGAAAAGGUGGUCGAAUAACGAAUUUUUCCUUAAGCUCACGUCCCAUCAAGGGAAAAUAAGUUAAAAUGGAAUCAUCAAUUCUAAACCUGUAGAAAAUUGAUUAUAUAUCACUCUCAUGUAUACUUUCUUCAGUGAUAGAUCAACAGUAUGAAUCUUUGGAUUGAACUUGACGUACUACACGAGUGAUACUGCGGAGAUUCCUUUGGAAAGGAAAAGAACUAUAAGGUACUCCAUGCAUGAGUGCUACGUUGUUCUGAUAUGACGGCUUCGCUAAAAGGCGUUUACUGAGAAAGAGAUGUACUUAUGAAGCAGGUAUUGUGAGGAUCGAAUUUACACGAGUCGUAUGAUAAAGUCGGAAUUAUAUGGAAACUAAAGACAUUAGGUUUGAACAUAAGGCGUUACAGACAAAACACAACAGUGCAACCUUUAACAGAGUUACUGUACUUAAGAUUUACUACAAGACUAUUGUUGCGAACAAGGCAUACUACAAAAGACAAGUAUACGCAGCACGAGCAUCCUUUAACGGACGGGAUCUCGCAAAAGGUAAGACUCUGGUUGCACUAGUUUUGGAUAGUUUAUAAGUCUGUUACAACGAAACGCCUUAAUUACAUUAACGUGGGUCUGGAGUAGUCCCACUUGCGGCGGUGGUCGGUAGUAGACUUUCGUCUGUGCCAGUAUUUGCUGCCUCUGGGUAGUUCCUUCAGUAGUGACCUGCCUUGCCACAACCGUCGCAAGCCUGGUUCACACCGGUGUUGGGCACUUGGUUGAUUGGCCUUGUUAGGCUCUUGCAAUAACGUCUGGUGUGCCCCUUUCUGUUGCAGUUUGAGCACUGCAUCUCUCGAAAACGUCCAUGGUGGUGGAAACUGCAUUGCAUGCAUUUUGGGAGAUUUCCAGCGUAUUGUCUGGCUGGGUUAGGGACAAUUGGGAUGCCCGAAGGGAUGGUAGUAGGAGGUACUGAUGUCGUCGUGGUGAAGGUUGUUACUGGUGGUUGUUUCCUAUUCGCCUUUCGAAGCGAUUUGUCCUUUGAUUUAGCCCAAGUCUUCCGUUUGUUACACUUGGUCUUGGGACUCGGGGUGUCUUGGUAGUUUGUUGCUCGUUGAGGUGCUUGAUUGUUACUCGGAUUGGAAUUUGUGUUAACAAUCCCGCCAACAUUUGUGUUGUUAGCGUUAAGGUGGGUCAGAAUAGCUGACACGGCAGCCGAGACUGCAGGUUGAAAGGUAGUUGCAUCAAUCUGAAGAGUUAGUGUUUGGUUGAGGGGUUGAUCGUUUUUCUUUGGCAACAUGAUUUUGUUACACGGAAAGAAAAAUGAAUUUGUGAGCGAGAAUGGUUGAACCUAGACGUAGUUCGAUCGCUCAUGUAAAGUAUAGAAGUAUGUUCUCUAAGUUUUGACCUACAUCCUUAUGAUGCAGUCCUAGUACGGAAUGGAAGUAUGUUCACGAAGGUUUGACCUACAUCCCUAUGAUGCAGUCCUAGCAAAGAUCGGAAGUAAGUUUGUACAAUGGUCUCAAGAUGUUUAUCGUUCUAGCCAAGGUAUUGUUGGUUGGUGAAUAACAUGAUCCAACCAUUAAAAGAGACUUGGAGAUGUCUCCGGAGUCAAAUUGCUAUAGUCCAAUGACUUGACUAGAGCAUGUUUCAAAUAGACUCUAAUGAAAGUAUGAUAAGAGUAUUUGAAUAAAGAAUGACACAGACGUUAGCCGAUUGUCAAUAUCUUUGAUAUUCAUGAUGUACCAGUUCGGGAAAAUGACCUUGUAAAAAAGUCUUACAUCAUAUCCAAAGAAGAUAGUUCUUGACAGCAUAAAGACCUAACCAAAAGUACUUACAGUACAAGAUAGUUUCAUAGAAAAUGCCACAUCGGGCAUAGACAGAAAACGAUUCCUAUCUAGCAAGGAAAAGAAAAUAGAAUAAGGGAUCUACUACUGGCGACGGUCAUCCCUCUAGUGAACUCUCAGUUAAGCCAGUUGGCGUUCCACAUCAAGUAGGUGUCUUUCAUACACCCUCUGGCGUACUCGAAGUUCUAUGACUUCGGCUCGUGAUACAGUCAGUGCUUGCAGCAGGGUUUCAUGGUUUCUCUCAGAUCUCUCACGGGCAUCUUCUAGACGAAUGGUGCGGAGGGUAUGCAUUCUCGCAUCGGCAACAACUUUAGUGAUCUGAUGUAGGGCUGUCCUGCCUUGAAUCUCAUUUCGGGCCACUCUACGGACCAAGAUUGGCAAGAUUCUGUCUGCUGAGCCCCCAUUGCUCAGGUCAUAGAAGCUUCGGUCACCAUUAAAUGGCAUGGGUUGAUCUUGUCCUUGGCUCGAUGUUUCCAAGCAUUCCACCCCCCUCAGGCUUCGGGCUAUGAAAAGUCGGACGAGGGUUAGGCAUUGGAAUGGGAGCUGUCUGGGGUAGGUUUUCAACCUCGGGUUCGGAGUUAGCACCGUCCAAAAGGUCUUCAUCAAGGCGAUCAUUCACAGAGAUAGGAUGAUCAUUCUCCGGUUCUUCUCCAAACCAUCCAGUAAUGACCUCGUUCGAGAGGUACGGGUUGCCGUGGGGAUGGAGUCCAGCCAUGUUAUCUACGCGAGAAUUUGGGUAAGGAAAUAAUUAUUAGACAAACUAUCUAGAUAAUUAUUAGAAAAUCUUCAUUAGUUAUAUUUCUAUUUGUAAAGUGCAUACCAGUUAUAUGUAAACAACACAGGAUAGGCCUUCGAAUAAGUGACCUUAACUCCAAAUUCACAAGGAAUAGGGGUAAAGCAAAAUUUCACCGAUUCUAAGUCUAUAACAUCCUAGUUACAUAUAGCCUUAGGGUAUCCACUUAGCAACUAUCAACGUAGUAAUGAAGACCCUUUUUAGUUCUCAAGUAAGUAAUUAUGGUAAAACAAAACACCCUUAUGGUAUUUUAGACUAGGUUCUGUUAUAAUGUUCUCAUUGUGGUAAUGUUGGUAAGUUUUUAGACUUGCUGUCAUAUCACAACCAUUCUUGGGCAUGUGCUAAUCACUCCUCGGACCAACAUAGUUGAUCAGGCUAUGCUACUUCCAAGAAUGACCAUACAUCCCCAGGCUUACUUGUGAUAUUCAACAAUCGUAAUACUUUUGGUCUUGUCGUUGUGACACGGAUUUUAGUAUGAAUGCAGGCACGUAUACUAAAUUAAAUAUUUUACUAUUUAAAGUAUAAACUCUUAGACAGAGUGUUUUAAUACCAAUGUAUUUAUAGUUAGUGUAUCUUUUAUGGGUUGAUAUACUUAAUUCACUAUAAACAAUGCUCUGAUACCAAUCUGUCACACCCCAAAACCAAGAACGGCGGAAACGUUCCGGGGUGGAGGACGUCAUGUGAAGUAUCAUAACAGUGUAAAGUAGUAAACAAGCAACAACAUCAUCCAUUGCAUUAACAGUAAAGUUUUAAUACAUGUGUGUUCUUUCAUAAUGUACAAUAAUAAAAUGAAUAAUCAAAAUAAGACAAGUCAUGUCUGUGCUCCGUCUUCUCAAGGCCUGGCCAUCGUACCUGUCUAACUGGUGACCUGAGAAUACAAGUUAUCUUGAAAGUGAGUAUCAGCCUAAAGCUGGUGAAUUCAUAAGUAUUUAAGUGUCAUUGUCUUGUUUUGGAAAGCUGUUAUGAAUGCCUUGUAAAUCUUUGAAUGAAACAGUUGAUAUAAGUAUGAAAACCCUAGAAAAUCCCUUAUUUCCUACUAGUAUGAAAUGUAGUCUUCUACCAAGACCCGAAUGUUUUUGUAAGUAAAAUUAUAGUUUUUCCUUCUUUUUGACUAUUACAAACAGUACUUAGUCUAACUCAUCGUUUAUGUGAAUGUAUCACAAAAUAAAGUAAUAGGAAAGUAUAAUCAUGUAAGUGUUAUCCUUUUGUAUUAGGAUUAACACGACAUCGCGAUUUGAGAAAUGUAUAACCUUUGAACAUCCGUAGACUGUUCAAUUGUCCUCUGUAGCUGCAGCAGGGGGGAGGAAGGGUUAGUCCCGUAACCGUAUUAUUAAUAUAAGUAUUAAUCGUAGGCAUCCGUGGAUGUUCAUUAACCUCCGUAGCGAAUAGUAGGCUCAAGGAAUGGUUAGUCCCGUAAAGGUACUCCUAGUAUAAGUAAUAACCAUAGGAAUCCGUAGAUGUUCAUUAACCACUGUUGCUAAGAGGUGGGAUUCGGAAUGGUUAGUCCUGUCUAGAUAUCCCGUUGAACUGGGAUAGGUAGGACAAUUUACACAGAAGGUACUAAUAAAUUAUCCUCGUGAAUCGAGAUACAAGUAUUCAUGUAAGUGUAUACAGGUAAAUGUAUCUACGUAAAGGUACUCAUAUAAUGUAUUCAUGUAAGGUAUUCAUGUAACGUAUUCAUGUAAGUGUAUCCAUGUAAGCGUACUCAUGUAAGUGUAUUCAUGUAACAUGUAAUGUAUAGUAUAGACUCAUGAAUGAACUGACUCUGAUGUAAUUCCUUGUAAUAGGAAUAAUGUUUUGUAUCUUCUAACUAUCCCUAUAAUAGUUAACUGGAAGGUAAUUAGUUGUUCAAGCAAGUUUAUACACCCUUGCUACACAAGAGUGUAGGAAACUAAAUGAAGGAUGAAAACUAUAACAUCAAUACCUAUAUAAGAACAUAAGUGUAUAGGUAUAGUUUUGUUCAAGAAGGUAAAAAUGGUUUUGUAAGACAUCUAUGAGUUUUGAACAAUAAUUAACAAUGACUUGAUGUCAUUUUAAUAAACAUUUCAAAUGCAAUACUUCUACUACCAAGGUAUUUUUAAGAUAGAAAAC